rnacentral:rRNA from 1 species
CUACGGGAUGCAGCAGUGGGGAAUAUUGCACAAUGGGGGAAACCCUGAUGCAGCGACGCCGCGUGAAGGAUGAAGGAUUUCGGUUCGUAAACUUCUAUCAGCAGGGAAGAUAGUGACUGUACCUGACUAAGAAGCCCCGGCUAACUACGUGCCAGCAGCCGCGGUAAUACGUAGGGGGCAAGCGUUAUCCGGAAUUACUGGGUGUAAAGGGUGCGUAGGCGGUCUGUUAAGCCAGAUGUGAAAGCCCGGGGCUCAACCUCGGGACUGCAUUUGGAACUGGCAGACUAGAAUACAGGAGAGGUAAGUGGAAUUCCUAGUGUAGCGGUGAAAUGCGUAGAUAUUAGGAGGAACACCAGUGGCGAAGGCGACUUACUGGACUGUUAUUGACGCUGAGGCACGAAAGCGUGGGGAGCGAACAGGAUUAGAUACCCGAGUAGUC